UUCAAAGCAUAAUUAUUACCCAAGCUGAAGAAGAAUAUUUGCAAGCAUUGAAUGGACUCCAUGAUCCCAAAGGACCAGAUAAUAUAGUUUUGGUGUCUGGACAGGUGGAUCAUUGAUACAUGUGCCCAAGAACCAUAUGAGGUAUUGUUACUGCACCGGACACAUCAUGGAAACUUCGCCUGACAGGACCAAUGACCACAAGAUGCUGUAACUGUUAGCAAACUUGAAAACUGACAAAGCUGCAGGAACAGAUAAGAAGCCACUUGUUCUUUAACAACUUCGAGUUGGAUUGCUUCAAAUGUUGAAGCAUGGCUGCAAGGAAUGUUGCACCUGUGAGAACCAACGGCUGCAACUAGUUGAUGAAAUUGAAAGAAACAUCACAAAACACCAAAAAAAAAAAAUGAUCCAGGUCUAUGGGUUUGUGUUACAUCUGCAUGUCUGUUAGUCAGUCAGUCUCAUUCUGGUCAAGUCAGUAAGUUUGCGAUACAUGCAUGGAUUCUCAGAUAACUUGGAACAGAUUUUGUCGUUACAGUGACAGAUU
rnacentral:lncRNA from 1 species